UACGUAGGGUGCGAGCGUUAAUCGGAAUUACUGGGCGUAAAGCGUGCGCAGGCGGUUUUGUAAGCCAGAUGUGAAAUCUCCGGGCUUAACUCGGAACGGUCAAGUGAUACUGUCGGACUAGAGUACAGAAGGGGCAACUGGAAUUCUCGGUGUAGCGGUGAAAUGCGUAGAUAUCGAGAGGAACACCUGCGGCGAAGGCGGGUUGCUGGGCUGAUACUGACGCUGAGGCGCGAAAGCCAGGGGAGCGAACGGG
rnacentral:rRNA from 1 species